rnacentral:lncRNA from 1 species
ACAUACAUACAUACAUACAUACAUACAUACAUACGUACGUUAACACAGCCCCCCACACACAUGCUUUCACAUAGCCUUCUGACCAGAGGCUGAAUUUAUUAAGGCCGGCAAAAGCAUUAUUAGGAACGUCGCGCUCUUUAGUACUAGAGGGAGACCAAGAUGGCAUUUUACAAGCACACUGAUAGUGUACAAGGUUAGCCAAUAGGAAAUGGAAUGUAAAACCUCACAGGCGUGGCUCACGGGCGCGGCUGACAGGCGUGGCACUUGGGCGGGUGGCUGCUGCUAUAGUCUCGGACCGACUACAGUCUCGUGAAUGCAUUUGGGAGACAGAAACUAAAAGAAGUUCGUCGUAUAUAUGCGUGUGUGUGUGUGUGUGUGUUAGUGUGUGUGUGUUAGUGUGUGUGUGUGUAUGUGCGUGUCACUUUGUGUCUGUGUUUGUUCCUCACCGCCACUUCAUGACCGGUUAUGGUUUGUUUACGUCUGUUCUUGGACACACUGUGAUUUGACAGACAGAAGACAAUUCCUCGUAGGGUACGAUCUCUGUCAGGCAAUGGUCUGCCAUUCAAGGGACAUGCCCCGCCCAGCGUAGCUGUGUCGUCAUGAUUCUUAUGAUUUACAGACCACAUUGGCAACACAGAUCACAAAUUUGAGGUCUGCACGAACGACUUAGAAAGGAAGUACAGAUGGGGACCCUGUUACUGAAACCCGAUCACGUGCCUUCCAACCAAGUGUGCAAAGUGUCGGACGAGCGGAUUUGGGAACAAAUGAAACGGUAAUGACAGAGGCGGCGAGCUGGCAGAAACGUUAGCAUGCCGGGCGAAAUGCUUUGCGGUAUUUCGUCUGCCGUUACGUUCUGAGUUCAAAUUCCGCCGAGGUCGACUUUGCCCUUCAUCCUUUCGGGGUCGAUAAAUUAAAGUACCAGUUACGCACUGGGGUCGAUGUAAUCGACUUAAUACCUAUGUCUGUCCUUGUUUGUCCCCUCUGUGUGUAGCCCCUUGUGGGUAGUAAAGAAAUAGGUAUUUCGUCUGCUGUUAUCUUCUGAGUUCAGAUUCCGCCGAGGUCGACUUUGCCUUUCAUCCUUUCGGGGUCGAUAAAUUAAAGUACCAGUUACGCACUGGGGUCGAUGUAAUCGACUUAAUACCUAUGUCUGUCCUUGUUUGUCCCUUCUGUGUUUAGCCCCUUGUGGGUAAUAAAGAAAUAGGUAAUGACAAAGCAAUCGUCAACAGGCAGCAGCGAAACGUUCUUAAGGGGCCGAAUGGACGAGAGUCAAGAAUAUUCAGUAAGGAAAUAUCACUAGAAAGAAAUAGACGGGAGCGGAAGAUGGUGAAAAAUAUGUAAGAAACGAUUAGAGGAAGCAUCUUACUUGACAUGUUGACGCUGAUAUCGGCUCUAUACAAAUUCUUCAACGCAAAACAUAACGGUUACAUUGACAGAACAAAGGUAAAUGAUUUAGGAAUGGCUGUGUGGUAAGUAGCUUGCUUAUCAACCACAUGGUUCCUGGUUCAGUCCAACUGCGUGGCAUUUUGGGCAAGUGUCUUCUACUAUAGCCUCGGGCCGACCAAAGCCUUGUGAGUGGAUUUGGUAGACGGAAACUGAAAGAAGCCCGUCGUAUAUAUGUAUAUAUAUAUAUAUAGGCACAGGAGUGGCUGUGUGGUAAGUAGCUUGCUUACCAACCACAUGGUUCCGGGUUCAGUCUCACUGCGUGGCAUUUUGGGCAAGUGUCUUCUACUAUAGCCUCGGGCCGACCAAAGCCUUGUGAGUGGAUUUGGUAGACGGAAACUGUGAGAAGCACGUCGUAUAUAUGUAUAUAUAUAUAUGUGUGUGUAUGUGUGCGUGUAUGUUUGUGUCUGUGUUUGUCCCCCCCCCAACAUCGCUUGACAACCGAUGCUGGUGUAUUUACGUCUCCGUAACUUAGCAGUUCGGUAAAAGUGACCGAUAGAAUAAGUACUAGGCUUAGAAGCAAUAAGUCCUGGGAUCGAUUUGCUCGACUAAAGGCGUUGCUCCAGCAUGGCUGCAGUCAAAUGACUGAAACAAGUAAAAGAGUAAAAGAGUAUACAAAAGUUUUUUAAUGAACUCGGUGAGUAGGGUCUAAAUGUGGUGGAAUCAACGCCGCAGUUUGCCUUCAAUCUCAGACAGAUGUGUACGACUUUAUUGCGGCACUUUGCUCAGCCAAAAGGAACAUUUUAAAUCACCUUUUGCAGAUACAUUUUACCAAAUCGUUUCUGACGGGACUGUAGACCUGGGUCAAGCAAUGACCAAAACCGGAUACCUAGUAUUUGCUAUUUAUAGGGCAAAGCAAUCGAUAAAGCCUCCAUAGGCGCAGGAGUGGCUGUAUGGUAAGUAGCUUGUUUACCAACCACAGGGUUCCAGGUUCAGUCCCACUGCGUGGCACCUUGGGCAAGUGUCUUCUACUAUAGCCUCGGGCCGUCCAAAGCCUUGUGAGUGGAUUUGGUAGACGGAAACUAAAAGAAACCCGUCGUAUAUAUAUAUAUAUAUAUAUAUAUAUAUAUAUAUAUGUGUGUGUGUGUGUGUGUGUGUGUGUGUGUGUGUGUGUGUGUGCGUGCGUGUAUGUUUGUGUGUCUGUGUUUGUCCCCCUAGCAUUGCUUGACAACCGAUGCUGGUGUGUUUAUGUCCCAGUCACUUAGCGGUUCGGCAAAUAGAGACCGAUAGAAUAAGUACUGGGCUUACAAAGAAUAGGUCCCGGGGUCGAGUUGCUCGAUUAAAGGCGGUGCUCCAAGUAAAAAAGAGCAAGAGUAAAGAGUAUAUAAUUAUUCUUCUAUAGGGGACCAGUGUUGGGGAGCGGCGACAACGUUCCCCAAGAAACUCUCCGCACCGUCGAGAAUCGAUUGUCUGAGAAUUGCUGGAAGAAUCUCAACGCGGCGAUUGAGAAGAAUUUCCAGAAAUCCUUGGCCUGACAAUGCAACCGGAGAACAAAAGCAUGCGGCCCGCCAUAGGUUUUCAUGCGGCCCGCCGAGAGGAAUAUUUCACAAAAUUUCCUUUCAAUCAAUUGUGUGUUUAUAGGUCUAUAACCGCCUUUAAAAAUAUUUUCACUUGAUUUUUAUAAAUGAGGCCCGCCAAGGUUCCAAAGACGCACUGUGCGGCCCGCGAUCAAAAAAGUUCGCCCACCCCUGGUUUAGUCCAUAUAAAAAAUUGCAAAACAAAGUAUCUUGGCUAUAACGACAGUUGUUGUGCAAUAAUAAUCAUAAUAAUAAUAAUAAUAAUAAUAAUAAUAAUAAUAAUAAUAAAAUAUUUGUUGUGCAAGAUUUUUUUUAUAUGAAGUCGUGUGUUGAAACAGAUAUUGUUAUAUUUCGGAAUGGUCAUUUUGCCAGUGUGACGAAAGAACUCUGGCCGAAAUAAGAUUAAGAUUAACGUAAAAAAAUAAAUAACACUGAAGCAAAAUAACACCAAAUAUAUAGUGCGUGUAUUUUUAUUGGCUAAACUGGUAAAUUGACCAUUCUGAAAUAUAACAAUAAAUAAUAAUAAUAAUAAUAAUAAUAAUAAUAAUAAUAAUAAUAAUAAUAAUAAUAAUAAUAAUAAUAAUAAUAAUAAUAAUAAUAAUAAUAAUGAACCUUUUUGCUGGAAGCACAAUGCCUCAGAUUUGGAGGAAGGGAUUAAGUUGAUUACAUCGACCCCUGUGCGUCACUGGUACUUAUUUAAUCGACCCAGAAAGGUUGAAAGCAAAGUCGACCCCGGCGGAAUUUGAAUGUAGUGGCAGACGAAGUACCGAUAAGCGUUUCGACCGACGUGCUAACGAUUCUGUCAGCUCGCCACCUUAGAUAAUAAUGAUAAUAAUGAUGAUAAUAAUAAUAAUAAUAAUAAUAAUAAUAAUAAUAAUAAUAAUAAUAAUAAUAAUAAUAAUAAUAAUAAUCCUUCUCUACUAUAGACAGAAAUCCUGAUUUUUUUUGUGGGGAGGGGUCAGUUGAUUAUCCCAAUACUCAACUUGUGAUUUAUCGACCGUAAAAAGUUGUAAGCCUAAGUCGACCUGGGCAAAAUUUGAACUCAUAAAGAAAGGAGCCGGAAUAAAUGCCACUAAACAUUUUGUCUGACCUGUUAACCAUUCUGCUAGCUUGUCGUUUAAUUAUGAUAACAACAACAACAACAACAACAGCAACAACAACAACAACAACAACAACAAUAGCAACAACAAUAAUAAUAAUAAUAGUAAUUAUAAGACACGAAAAUUACACAGAAUUUAAGAAAAGUGUCUGGUAAAAAUAAACAAAGCUUAAAACAAGAUAUUUAUAUAAAAUAACUAGCAGUGUAGCCCGGCGUUGCUCAGGUUUGUUUUCUUUUCGACCCAUUUUUGAAAAGUAAAAAUUUUGCAUUAUGCAGCUUGUUAUUCUCUUUAAGUGAACAUUUUUCUGGUUGAAAUAUAGCGAAAAAUGGCGACACAGCAGUCCAAAAAUCGUAAAAAAUAGGGAUUUUCAUAGAAAAAAAAAGUACCUUUUUGAUGCAAAUAAUUUUUGGUGUUAACAUGGUUCGAUUUGAAUUUUUCUUCUACGGAAUAAAGAACAAGCCUUCUGCUAUCAUACUCUCAAUUUUGGUCAACUUGCGCCGCAGAGUCUCGGAGAAGAUAAUGUUAGUUAAAGGCUACCAAACCUGCCAUACACAGACAACUUCAGCUUUA